rnacentral:rRNA from 1 species
GACGAACGCUGGCGGCGUGCUUAACACAUGCAAGUGGAGCGACGAACCGGGCUUCGGCCUGGGGCAGAGCCGCGAACGGGUGAGUAACACGUGGGUAACCUGCCUCGAUGACCGGGACAACCCGAGGAAACCCGGGCUAAUACCGGAUGUGCUCCUUCACAUCAGUGAAGACAGGAAAGGAAGCUUCGGCCUCCGCAUCGAGAUGGGCCCGCGGCCCAUUAGCUUGUUGGUGAGGUAACGGCUCACCAAGGCUGCGAUGGGUAGCUGGUCUGAGAGGACGAUCAGCCACACUGGGACUGAGACACGGCCCAGACUCCUACGGGAGGCAGCAGUGGGGAAUCUUGCGCAAUGCGCGAAAGCGUGACGCAGCAACGCCGCGUGGGGGAAGACGGC